rnacentral:telomerase_RNA from 1 species
CAUCAGGAUGCAGAGUUGCUCUGGCAGCUCCUAACCCUAACAUUAGCAGGGUUAGCCAAUUCUGGUUUGUGUUUUUUUAAGCUAGUUUUUGUCACAUUAAAUACAUAAAACUAGUGAGGAAAGACCGUCGUCGAUGUGCUGGCUUGAAGCGGUUUUGCAAGCGCUUGGUCGAUCGAUUUCAAGUUAUACGAGGCUAAUCAGCGUACAACAAGUUCCGUAAGCAAUCUUCUGAUCGACUUACACGUUCUUGUUAAGGAGUUCGCUCCGACUAUGAUUGCUGAUUAGCUGGAAGGUUGCGAGCCGUUCAGCACGUUGCGAGAUAAUAACUGGAGGCAUUGCGUUUGGCUUAGCUUUUGGAGUCUACAAAGUUGAGCAGCAAUGAUGUCUUCCAACAAAC